rnacentral:lncRNA from 1 species
GAACGACCUAGUUAUUCUGGAAGUCAAAACAUGAAAAAUGAAACACAAUAAUAAUAGAAUCUAAUAUGGUAUCAAAACCUAUGAAUAUAAAUAAAACACCUUUUAUUUAUCACCAUAUGAUUACACAUUAUUCAUUGUAUACUGUUUUAGCUAUCAACUUUAUUCUUGAAUUAAAACAAUAGUUAUCCCAUGCUCCAAGCAUGUACACUAUGUUUUUCUAAACAAUAGCUUUGCCAUACACCAAGUAUGCACUCUAUGUUUGUCUAUGAUCCUUACUUUGUGAAAUAAACCAAUUGACCAAAAUUUCAAUGAUUCUAAUUUCACACUCCCGAAUUCUUAUGGCAAAUGUAGGAAUUCCAAAUUCAUGCCAUUUUACCGAAAUCUGUUAGAUUCUAAACUUAUAUGCAAUGAUUCUCUUGUAAUGAUUAUGAACAAAGUCACAAAGACUUGACAACAAACAUUACAGAGCAUUCCAAAGGAGAUCAACUCCUUGGAAACAUCCUUCUUGCAUUACGUUUCCUAAUCUUACACAGAUUUAUUGAACAACUUCCACCUAUGGGAUCAUUUCCAUAUUCCCCUUUUGACUAUCACUUCUAAACAAGAGUUGCCUCUUUUCAGAAUAUGCCAAUAUGGUCCUUCCAACAAUUAACACUAUACUUCCAACUGUCCCUGAGCAACCAAUCUUUGGUAAACCUUAGAUUGUCCUCGACAAUUGGUUAAUCGUUUUAGUCAUAUCUAGUUCUAGACCUUUUCCCUUCUUAAUGCCCCAGGCAUUUGGAAAAUUUUAGAAAGGAUGAAUAUAGCACAUGUAAUCGAUCCUAUAUCCGAAGCAUAUGGGACACGAUUCAUGAUGUCUCACAUAAAGACUAAACCAGUCUUUUGCUAUAAUAUUUCCAUUUCUAUUUGCCAAGUUCUCAUAAUUCAGAUUAUGAAAAGGGAUGCCGUAAUCAUAAUCGAAUUUUAGAACGCAAAUAAUGGACCCAUAUAUAGAAUUUCCUUAUGUUGAGCCAUUCCAACAUGAAAUUCAUAUAUAUUCUUGACUAAAUUUGAUUAAAAUCUCAAUCUAAGCUUUUAGAAUUGAAAUGAAGUAUAAUUUCCUCUCCCUUAAUUAUAGCAAAACAACUUUUUCAACCCCUGCAGCCUCACGAAUUGAAACUUUUGUUUUCUAUAAUUAACAUUGCUAACUUGCAAUACUUAUCAUAAUUAUCAUGCUCCCACUAACAUGAUGAUUAUUAGCAUAACACUUAUGCUCCCACUAGCUUUGACAUGUACUCAGAAAUCAGCUGGACUUCUAGAAAUCAAUACUUCAUUGACUUUCUUACCAAAGUUCAGAUUUCUGAUGCUAGAUUGUUUUGAUAAAACUUUAUCAAAAUCAUACACCUUCCCUUAGAUAGCACACUUGUGUGUCUAAACAAUUAUGAAGAGGUAUGCCGUAAUCAUAAUGGUUAGACCUUUUUGCCACUUCUCACAAGUCCAGGUUAGUGUGCCGGUAAACCACACACGCUCCACUAACGACUUUGAGAAUGCAAAUAUCACAAUUGCUAUCUAGCUAAAAUCUACUUAGUGAAAGUGUUUCCUCACCAUCAUUUUCAUGAAUCGGAGAGAAACCUUAUGACACUUAGAUUUAAUGGUGUAUGUGUUCUUAUCCAUGUGAAUUGUCAAAACCAUAGUCACAAGACAAGGAUAAUGACAAAUCCAAACUCAUAUGGACUGAACUCAAUCUUAAUUUCUUGCCACCUGGCAGCUCAAGGGCCUGCCAUUGCUUCCAAGUUGUUGUGCAACAAAUUGAGAACUCUAAGAACUCAUAUGCAAAGCCAACUUUAACUGGAAUGGGCACAGAAUAUGUCAACACGAUAGGUUAUAAACCUCAAGUCGUGUGCUAGUGAAGAACUUCAGGUUUUAUUCUUGAUUAGUUCUUGAGACUUUCAAGACCUUUAAGACUCCCACUGUCCUCUUGACAUAUAAGACUCCCUUGUCAAACAUCCAAGAGAUAGUGCGGAUUCUAAUCAAGAAAAACACUUUACCCAAUUGGCCUAAGUUGGUCUUUGUUUUAUCCAAAACAUCACAACUUACCAAUUUCAAAUGUACAAGAGUAGAAAACUUUUACUCUUACAUUUGACAAGUGUUUUAAACCUUCUUUAAGACAUGUCACUCAAAUGACAAUCUUGGAGUAUGACUCUAAGACUUGUAUUGGAACGAAGUAUGACUCAUCUUCUUGAUUUAACCAUUUCAACAAUUCAAGUUCCUCUUCUUAGUCAUAAGAAUGCACUAAGAUUUCCUUAGAGAACUAAUUUUGAUAUGGUUUCUUAAUCAUUAAGAUGAUCACAAAACUGAUACUAAAGUACUCUCCCAUCUUUUCAGAUUUGAGAAACUUUUAUCCUUCUGCCUUAUUUGAUUCUUCUUAUCGAUCUUUAGUGGUGGACUUAAUCAGUGCACAAGAAUGUGUACUCGAUCCCUAAGUCCUUUACUUGACUCACACAUCCAUGUGAACAAGUAAUUAGUCUUAAUUUUCCAAAACUUGAAAGUUCUCAUUCAUCAUGCUAUACAACUUGCAUGAUUCCAAGUUCCGGUCCAAUUGAAACUUGGGUGAUGAGGAUCUUUCCUUAUUUGGUAAAUUUAGACAUUACCACAAAUGAAAGAAUCAAUUUCAUAUUUCCACUCUUGCUAUUAAUGGAAUCAUAUAAGCAACAAUUUUUUCCCUCAAAUGCCAUUGUAAGGAUAUUUUAAAAUAAAUAAAAUCAUCAUUUUUCCUUUUAUUUUAAAAAACUUUGCAGAAAAAAUAUCCUUACAAUGCAAAAGAGCAUGAAAACUUUGUUGUUAUCUAUUCCUAAGCAAUAAGUAGCUCAAGAAUCCGAUCUUCAAACUAUGCGAUAGAAAUUCAUCUACGCGAUCAGAUUCAACAUAUUCUUUCUUUAAGUUUCUUCACUUUUCUUUGAUUCUUACAAACAUCAACAUGUGACCCAGUCACAUCAUGUAUCAAGAAUCUCAGUAUAGAAACUUAGAGAGUUAGAUAGUGAAUUUUACCUGAAGUAGGGUCAAACUUAUUGACUUUAACAUCCUUAGGUAAAAUUGGCAGCUUCGCAACUAAUGUCCCUUCCUUUGGCAAUAUAAACAUAUGGACCCGUUGGUAAUGGUAUGCAUGACUAUCACAGACUUAGAUUUUCUCUUUACCGUUUGGUCAACCAAGUUGACUAUGGCCGAUCCCUUUGCAUUGGGAAGAGAGAGCUUUACUAGAUAUCCAAUGUCAUUAUUGUCAAUGUCCAUAAAGUUUUAGGAAGUUGACCUUAGCAAAUAGAUAAGAUCAUUAAGGGUCUUGUCAUAGUCUGUUUCAUAGGAGUCCCAAAGGAACUCACUAUGUGACCUAGAAAGUGAUUGAGCCACAAACUUUCUCAAGACUUUGACACUCAACUCUCCCGGCUUGUUAGUAUGUGACUUCAUCUCCAAGAUGUGAGCACACCUAGACCUUGCCUUGCCAAUAGGGCUUGAGUGACCUUGAACUUGUGGGAUAGGGAGAAUAAUUGGAGGAGGUGGAGGAAGUGAAGUUCCAAGAGAUUUGGGAGGAUCAUAGAUGUCUAAAAUAGACAUAUUUUGGGAGACAUUCAAGAUAGUUGAUUAAAAGUCCUUCAUAUAACACCCAAUAUGAAAUAUUAAGGCUAGGACCCUACAAACUAUUUUAUAACUCGGAAGAGGGAUGCUGUAAUCCAAGCUAUAAAAUAUUUGAAGGUAGGUGAAUGAUGAUUCACCAAUAUCCACCAAGAUAAACGAAAUGUAUUAUUGGGUUUUAAUUGGUUUUUGAAACUCCUAGAUUCUUUUGAGAUUCAUUGAACUGUUCAAUGACAUGUUUCAAUCUCGAGUGUGCCCUUCAGGUUUUGUGACUGGGAUGCCGAUGAUCACAAAACAAGGUGUGAAGUAACCAUGCAAAUAUACAUGGUACCCUUAAUUAUUUACCCCUUAAUCGAUGUGCCGGUUAACCACACACGCUCCACCGAUACUAUGAUAAAUAAUAAGUUACCCUUUGCCUACCUUGUUAAGUCUAGGUUAGAGUGCCGGUUAACCACACACGCUCCACUAACGACUUAAGAAAAGUGCAAAGUGUAAUUUCAUGGGUUAACACCAAAUUCACAUUUUCCUAAGUAACUAAGACUGGGUAUUGAGAAGAGUUUAGUUACUUAGUAUUUAUCAUUAAUACUUUUAAUGAAGGGAGAAUUCUAGUCCUUGUCCUACCCUUUCGGCUAACGACCCUCCACCAGUCAAGGAAGCGGUGGGUGAGAGUGGACACUCAUUAAACUGUCAUUUUAUAGGCAGUAACCUUAUACCCCCUUAUAGUCCGGCUUCGUGAAUGAGGCCUACUAACGGUAAGACUGACUUUACUCUUAUACACACACACACACAUAUAUAUAUUAUUAACUUAUAAUAUUAUAAAGUAUAAGGGUUGAAUUUUAACUUUUAAAAUUCUAAGGGCUAACUUGGAAUUAAAGUAUUCAUUAGUGAAAACUUUUCAAAUUCCCAAACUUGAGGACAUGCUUUGAAACUAUUCAAAACUAAUUAAUUCCAUAACUUAUGAGUUUAAAGUAGUUUUAAUUAAAAGACUCUUCAAGUUCCAUAACUUGAGGACAAGUUAUGGAAGACUUUAAACUAAUAAAAGAAUGUCAUUUUUCUUUAUUUUGUAACUUAUGGAAUUAAUUAAGGUUACACUUUUUUAUUACUUAAUGAAGUGACUCUUGAACCUCCAUAACUUGAGGACAAGACUCUUCAUUUUUUUGUAACCAUUGCCAACUUUUAUGAGUUUUAUGAACUUAAAUGUGACUUUUCAUAUAACUUGAGGACAAGUUACAAAAACACAUUUUAGAAUCAACUCUUAGAUUAAUUUGGAUUGAAAACAACAAUUUCACAUAACUUCCUAUUAAUCUAAGCAACUCAUAAGAACAAGAUAAUUCAAAUCAAACUUUUUCAUGUAAUUAGUCUAAACCUUAAACUAAUACAAAACAUGAAUCUAUUGACAAUUAUCUUUGAAAAUGGAUUAGCAUGAACAUUACCACAUCAAAAACAAGUUUAUAAGUUCAAAAACAACUUAGGGUAAUGUUCCUAGUCCAUUUCUAGCCAAAAAACUCGAAAAUAUGCUGUCUGGGGGUCCAACUCGUCGAGUGCAUGAACAAACUCGGCGAGUUGGAUCGAAUUCAUCACUUUUUAGGCAUGGACUCGUCGAGUCUCCUGAUGGACUCGCCGAGUCUGAUGGCCAGACAGCACCAGAUUCGUUUUUUCAGCUUCUAUUGCAGGUAUAACAAGAAAACAAGCCUAGGCUCUGAUACCACUGUUGGGUUUUGAGCAUUCUAACACUCCUAAGUGUACAUGCAACCCUAAAUACCUUGGAUCUAUGUUUUCUCUAUUAUACAUGCAAAUAAGAACUUCCAAGGUAUUAUCCUAAUCUAGCAUACAAAACAAUGACUAUAACAAGAUAGAAUACAUACCUCUUUGAUGUAGAAAGUCUUCAUGAAGCUUGAGUGCCUAGUGCCCCAAGUGUGACACCUCAAAUGGAAUCACAAUCAUCAAAACACUUGGAAUGACUUGAGAGAAUUCUACACUCUUCAAAAUCGGCUAGCCCUUUCUUCACUAUCACUAGUGGCCGAUUUUUCCUCAAUAAUAAGAUGCUUAUAUAGUUACACAAUUAGGGUAAACUCUUAAUUGUCAUGGCUUUCCAUUUCCUUGGAUCCAUGGGUACAAAUACACCAUGGAGCAUCCAUGGACCAUCCUAUGGGUUUUAGCCCAACUUGAUUAUCCAUGGAGCAUUAGCCCACUAUACAAGUAUGGAUGAUUUACACAAUCAACCCAUAUAUUUAAUUAGUCUUCUUUUGAUCACUUAAUUAAUCCUAGAUUAAUUCUUGAUCAAUACUAAUUAAAUAAUCUUAUUAUUCUUAUUAUUAAUAUACUAGAACUUAUAAUAUAUUAAUAACCAUAAGUGUCUUAUUUCUCUCAUUAUAGUCUAUCCAAGUGCAUGAUGGUAUGCAACCCAAAUGGACCAUGCCGGGUCGGGUCAAGUCUUACCAAUUAUAGUUAUGGACUUAGACAUUAAUCCAACAGUCUCCCACUUGGAUAAGUCUAAAACUAUUAUUGCGUAUGACUUCAGGAACCAACUGGCAAUCGUAGCUCUCAAAAGCUUCUGUCGAACUCUGACCUUGUAGAUGAACUCUGACCUUUGUCAAUGACUUGUCCAUUAGAUAAGGGAUCAUAUAUUCCUCCAUUCUAGAUAUCAUAUGGACUGAGACAUGGAUUAUAAUCAUUCUCUCUGUCCAUUUGUUGUUUCCCGAUUUCCGAUUUAUGACGACUGACUAAUUGAACAAAUCAAAUCAGUCCUGGCCCGGCCGAGCACUUCCAUUUGUCAUCAUCAAAUCAUCGAGGGGCCCACAGAUAUCGCUUUUAUCCCGAAGGUAAAAGGAAUGGAUAAACUUCGACUCAUAUGGCUUGUUCUACUACUUGUUGAAUCAUACACAAAGGCACGUUUUAUAGCACCGAGUUACCAAAUGCGUUUUCGUGCAAUCAAUGUACUAUCAACUCAUAGUAACAACUCAUAUCUCUAGGUUUGAAGAAUAUAAGAUAUUAUCGUCUCAUGAUCACUCGUGAUAAAAUCCAUGAAGUGAUUCCAAUGAGCGCGGGUUGAAUCCAAUACUCAGAACUUAUGAGCACUCAUGAGUGUUGUAGCCCUUUGUCCAACACCUUAGACCUCUACAAGCCAACCCAUGACAGUCUUAAUUCAUAUCUACUUCCAACAUAUGACCGACUGUGGAUGGUUUGAAUAACUUAGUCAUUCCGGAAGAAUAACCCAGUUUAUUCGGGAAGUCAAAACAUGCAAAAUGAAACACAAUAAUAAUUGAAUCCAAUAUGGUAUCAACCCUUUGAACAUAAAUAAAACACCUUUUAUUUAUCACCAUAUGAUUACACAUUAUUCAUUGUAUACUGUUUCAGCUAUCAACUUUAUUCUUGAAUUUAAAACAAUAGUUGUCCCAUGCUCCAAGCAUGUACACUAUGUUUUCUUAAACACUAGUCAUGCCACACACCAAGUAUGCAUACUAUGUUUGUCUAUGAUCUUUACUUUGUGAACUAGAUCAAUUGAACAUAACUUCAAUGAUUCUCUUUUCACACUCCCAAAUCCUUACUGCAAAUGCAAGAAUUCCAAAUUCAUGCCAUUUACUGAAAUCUGUUAGAUUCUAAACUUAUAUGCAUUGAUCCUCUUGUAACGAUUAUGCACAAACUCACAAAGACUUGGCAACAAUCAUUACAGAGUAUUCCAAAGGAGAUCAACUCCUUGGAAAUAUCCUUCUUGCAUUAAGUUUCCUUAAUCUUACACAGAUUGAAAAUUCUAACUUUGAAACAUUUCCAGAUUCCAUUUUGACUAUCACUUCUGAACAAGAGUUGCCUCCUUACAGAUUAUGUCAAUAUGGUCCUUCCAGAAUUAUCACUAUACUUCCAACUGUCCUUGAGCAACCAAUCUUUGGUAAACCUUAGAUUGUCCUCGACAAUUGUUUAAUCCUUUUAGUCAUAUCCAGUUCUAAACCUUUUCCCUUCUUAAUGCCCCAGGCAUUUGGAAAAUUUUAGAAAGGAUGAAUAUAGCACAUGUAAUCGAUCCUAUAUCCGAAGCAUAUGGGACACGAUUCAUGAUGUCUUACAUAAAGACUAAACCAGUCUUUUGCUAUAAUAUUUCCAUUUCAAUUUGCCAAGUUCUCAUAAUUCAGAUUAUGAAAAGGGAUGCCGUAAUCAUAAUCGAAUUUUAGAACGCAAAUAAUGGACCCAUAUACAGAAUUUCCUUAUGUUGAGCCAUUCCAACAUGAAAUUCAUAUAUAUCCUUGACUAAAUGAUUAAAACCUCACGAUCUAAGCUUAUAGAUUUGAUAUGAAGUAUAAUUUCCUCUCCCUUAAUUAUAGCAAAACAACCUUUUCCCAGUUGAAACCUUUUGUUUUCUAUAAUUAACAUUGCUAAUUUGCAACCUUUAUCAUAAUUAUCAUGCUCCCACUAACAUGAUGAUUAUUAGCAUAACACUUAUGCUCCCACUAGCUUUGACAUGU